rnacentral:rRNA from 1 species
UACGGAGGGGGCUAGCGUUGUUCGGAAUUACUGGGCGUAAAGCGCACGUAGGCGGCUUUGCAAGUUAGAGGUGAAAGCCCGGGGCCCAACUCCGGAAUUGCCUUUAAAACUGCAUCGCUAGAAUUGUGGAGAGGUAAGUGGAAUUCCGAGUGUAGAGGUGAAAUUCGUAGAUAUUCGGAAGAACACCAGUGGCGAAGGCGACUUACUGGACACAUAUUGACGCUGAGGUGCGAAAGCGUGGGGAGCAAACAGG